UUAGGUUUUCUGGUCAGAAUGCAGUCUGGUACAUUUUCUAGAUUGUUAGAGAGGAGUUGAGCUGGGCUCUUUGCUAUCUUGGCUCUGCCCCGUGUAUAUAAAAAGCAAGGUAUGGUUGGGGGAGAAUUCUGCAUGCUUGGCCUCCUUUGCACCUCUUUGAGAGGUCACUGACCCAGCCUUUUGCCCUGAGCUCUCUUAGCUUAUUUGCCAUUUCAACCUUCAUAAUCCUGGCCACCCCAGGUCAGGCCCUCAUCACUCUCUCCUAGGUCACUGCAGCAGACUCCUGAGUGGACUCCCUGCCUCCAGUCUAUUCUUCACUCUGUUUCCAAAGGAACUUUCAUGAAGCACAGGGAAGACCAGGCCGAACAGCUUGUCCUGUCCAGGGUUCAUGCCCUAAGAAGGUGACUGAAGACGCUGGCUUCCGAAUACUCUAGCCUUUGACUGAAGGAGGCCACCAAGCUGGAUGACCUGGAGCUAUGGCAAAGAGCUAGUGGGAGUGGAGUUGGGAAAGGCCUGAACCACAAAGAUAUUUUGACUUUCCUGUAGGGCCCUGUGAGCCAAUGGGGAGCCAACCUGGAGGACUUCUGAAGGGACACCACUGCCCACAUCAAGGAGCAGGAAAGCAGGGUGCUCUAGCAGAUGUCUGAGUUGCAGAGGGCGACAACACAGUCUCAUAUCAGAGGGUAGAACUUCACAUCUUGAGCAACUACGGUCACCCUGAGUAUACCUGCAUUUACUCAUCUGGGUCCAUGGGAAGUAUGCCAAUUAGCCCCUCCCCCCGAGUCUCUAUAUUCCUUCCCUCUUCAUCCACCUCCCCUCUACCAGCAAGCAGCUCCCCGACCUUCUCCUCCCUUCCCUAUGGUUAAUCUCUUUUGGACACUAUGGCCUCUGGAAAAGAGACAGAAGGUGGGAGCCAACCUCCAUGGAUCAAUCUUGCCCCACUGGACCCUCACUGAUAUGGAGGAGAGACCACCAGCUGAGCAACUUGUGUUUCAUUCCCUAUCCACCUUUCUUUUUUGGAUUUUUGGUGAGGCAGUCAGGGUUAAGUGACUGGCCCAGGGUUACACA